GAUGAACGCUAGCGGCAGGCCUAACACAUGCAAGUCGAGGGGUAACAUAGGAAAGCUUGCUUUUCUGAUGACGACCGGCGCACGGGUGCGUAACGCGUAUACAACCUACCUUUUAGCCGGGGAAUAGCCCAGGGAAACUUGGAUUAAUGCCCCAUAGUAUAUAGACUUCUCCUGAAGUUUAUAUUUAAACAUUUAUGGCUAUUAGAUGGGUAUGCGUCCUAUUAGUUAGUUGGUAAGGUAACGGCUUACCAAGGCAGCGAUAGGUAGGGGUCCUGAGAGGGAGAUCCCCACACUGGUACUGAGACACGGACCAGACUCCUACGGGAGGCAGCAGUGAGGAAUAUUGGACAAUGGGCGAGAGCCUGAUCCAGCCAUGCCGCGUGCAGGAAGACUGCCCUAUGGGUUGUAAACUGCUUUUACAGAGGAAGAACCACCCCCACGUGUGGGGGGUUUGACGGUACUCUGCGAAUAAGGAUCGGCUAACUCCGUG
rnacentral:rRNA from 1 species